AUGUUUUAGCUGUUUUGAAUGUAAACCAAAGCCACAUCUUUGUCGUGUCAUUCCUCAUGUCUAGUCCAACCACGCUGGAAAUGUUGGUACAAUCCUUUGGACCUUGGUAGACAAGUAAAUGGAGUGCCUCAAAGGAUCCUGUGGAUAGAGGCAGUGAUGAGGAGAUGGGAAGGGGAGGUGGCAACUUCGGGUGUCUAGAGGAGUCAAGUAGGUAAUAUAAACAAACAGUGCAUGUAAAGUAAAAAAGCGAUGUGAACUGGGUGUGAGAUGAUUGUCAGUGACCAGCCUGCAUCCUCAGAGAUGAGGCAUAGUAGGGAAGUAAGUGACAGGCACUGUGAAAAUGAAAGCCCAGGGUUGCAGGUCUUAAAUUUUUCAAAUAAAAUGGAAAUCCUGAUUUUUAUGGGAGGUCUAUUGAUGCUUAAAAGCUGGCAACUAAUUCUUUUUUUUUUUUUUAAUGAUUUGCAAGCAAGAUGCAAACAGUAGAUCGCCAGUGUGCAGUCUCUACCAUAAAGUCAUAUGUUCUGUCAGCAGACAUCCCAAGGUUUUUCUGUCACCUUCUGCUUAAUGCCAGGAGCCAUUCAAGAUAGGACAGCUACUGGGCAGACAGGCAGUGGAGCAGGAGUCAGGCCGAGAGCCCAACCACAGUGUUUUGAUUAUUGUUGGGAGGGGAAAGUGGGCUCAACUUGUUCGUUCCCCCUUGCUUCUCCUCGCUCUCUGAGAAACACAGUACAUGAUGGGCUCACUCCUCUCCUUGGCUCUCUGUGUUCCUAUUGGUAAUGGAUACACCAAGGUGGUAAAAGGUCAAGUGAAUGGACUGAUUCACCAGAUGUCUUUGGGAAACUAUCUUAAAUGGGGAAACAGUAAACAUAUUAGUCAGCUGCUCUGUAAAGGAGAUGACUGCCUAGCUUAGAAGAAACUGCUUUAAGUCUCCCUGUCUGGAGCCAAAAUGAUUGAAAGUUGGCUGCCAAGACCUCAGCUGGAAAAGGAACUUGACCACCCGACUGACCUUGUUAUUUUUAAACACAUGUAUUUCCAGCUCACCCUGGACCAAGUCCUAGUCCUCACUGAAAAGUCGUGUACGGUGUGAACCUGAUGUUUUUCUCACAGUUCAGUCUGUUGGCCAUCAUCAACCUUCUCCUCAUUUCCUACUAGGGUCUAAGAUGUUCUUCCACUUGAGGAGGAGGUAGCUUGCCUGCCCAGAAAGAGUAGUCAUGCCUUGUUUCAUCAUCAUUUGAGGUAGGAUAGUUCCCAAAUCUGGAUUUUUUUUAUUUUUAAUAUUAGUUCCCUGGCCUUACCUCUAGGCACUCUGACUCAAUAUGUCUCAGGUAAGGCUUGCAAAUCUAUUUUUUUUAAUGAGAAAAAGAAAACUUUCUACGUAGUGCAGAUACAGCUGAUGCGUGGGCCAGCUAUUGGGCGCUAUUAGAACAACUACCUUAGGCUUACAUCUAAACAGCCAAAGUCCAGCUCACUCAACCAACUUGAGAAUUUUGUCUGAAACUUUUUUCCUUACUUCUAGGCUGUGGAAAUUUUUUAAAUUAAUUUUAUUGGAGUAUAGUUGAUUGGAAAAAAAUUUUAAUAGAAAUUAUUGGUUUAUUUAUAUCUAAUAACUGAAAGACCAGUUAUUAGAUAUAAUACCUUUUUCUUUUUUUUAAAUGAUAAACUUAUAAAAAUGUUGAGAAUAGUAUUGAAAAUCAUGUAACUGAUAAGGGAUUUGUAUUCAGAAUAUAUAAAGAACUCUUACAACUCGAUAAUAAAAAGGGGGUCUGAAUAGACACUUCUUCAUAGAAGACAUACUAAUGGCCAAUAAGCACAUGAAAAGAUGCUAACAUGAGUCAUCAGGGAAAUGCAACUCAAAACCACAAUGAGAAUCACUUCAUACCCACUAGGAUGGCUAUAAUCAGACAAUAACAAGGAUUAUCAGGGAUAUGGGGAAACUAGAACCCUUACACACUACACUGUUGGUCAGAAUGUAAAAUGGUGCAGUUGCUUUAGAAAACAGUCUGGCAGGGCUUCCCCGGUGGCGCAGUGGUUAAGAAUCCGCCUGCCAAUGCAGGAGACACGGGUUCCAGCCCUGGUCCGGGAAGAUCCCACAUGCCGCGGAGCAACUAAGCCCAUGCGCCACAACUACUGAGCCCGUGCUGUAGAGCCCGCGAGCCAAAACUACUGAGCCCGCGUGCCACAACUACUGAAGCCCGCACCUAGAGCCUGUGCUUCGCAGCAAGAGAAGCCACCGCAGUGAGAAGUCCAUGCACCACAACGAAGAGUAGCCCCUGUUCACCGCAACUAGAGAAAGCCCGCACACAGCAACAAGACUCAACGCAGCCAAAAAUAAAUAAAUUUAUUUUAAAAAAAAACAAAAAAACAGUCUGGCAAUUUCUCAAAAGGUUAAACAUAGAGUUACCAUUUGACCCAGCAAUUCUACUUCUACAUAUAUACCUAAAAUAAAUGAAAACGUGUGCACAAAAAGUGUACCUCAACAUUCAUUGUGGCAUUAUUCAUAAUAGCCAAAAAAUAGAAACCACAAAUGUCCAAACAACUGAUGAAUGAAUAAACAAGAUGUGAUACAGCCAUACACAUAUAUACAUGUAAUACUACUCAGCAAUAAAAAGGAAUAAAGUACUAAUACAUGCUUCUACAUGGAUGAACAUUGAAAACAGCUCAUCCAGAGCACAAAGUAGAUUAGCAGUUGCCAGGGGCCUGGGGGAGGGACGAAUGGAGAGUGACUGCUAAUGGUUACAAGGUUUUGGGGGGAGUGAUAACAAUGUUCUGAUAUUAGAUAGUGGCAAUGAUUGCAAAACUCUGAAUAUACUAAAAACCACUGUAUUGGGCACUGAAAGUAUAAAUUUUUUGGUAAAAUUCAUAAAUCUCAAAGCUGUUAUUUAUGUUUUAAAAAACCUGCAACAGCUCAGAUGUCCUUCAAAAGUGAUUAGUUGCACAAACUGCAGAUACCAUGGAAUAUUGUUACUUGGUAAUAAAUAAAACAUAUACACACUGCAUGAGUCUCUGGGCAAUUAUGUUAAGUAAAAAUAGCCAAUCCUAAAAAGUUGCAGACUGUAUGAUUCCAUUUAUAUAACAUUAUUUGAAAUGGCAAACUUUUAAAAAUGGAGAACAGAUUAGUGAUUGCGAGGAGUUACAGAAGGGGGGCCUCGCUGGAGGGAGGUGAGUGUGGUUAUAAAAGGGUAACAGGAGGGAUCCUUGUGGUGAUGGAAAUGUUCAGAAUCUUGAAUGUGGUGUAAACCCGACAUAUGAUUAAGUUGUAUAGAACUAAAUACAAACCAAAAAAUGACUAUAAAUAUAACUGAGGAAAUCUGAACAUGAUCAGUGGAUUGUGUCAAUGUCAGUAUCCUGAUUGUGAUACUGUACGAUAGUUUUGCAAAAUGUCACCAUUGAGGGAAACUGGGUAAACGGUACACAGGACCUCAUCAGCAAGGACCUUUGAUGCAUGGAGAGGACAUAACACAGAUGAAGACAUUGGAAUGCCAAAGAUUAUGUGACAGCUUGCAAGUGGCACACAGCCACAAACAGAAGCCAGGGCUCUGGACACCCAUUCCUUCAUUCAACAAAUAUUUAUUUAUGUGAGUGACACCAAUGCCUCAGAUCCCCAGUUGUAGAAUCUAGGCCCUGGGGUUAUAGCCAUGAACAACCCUCAGGCCAGCCACAGCUCAAGGAGGUACAAAUGACCCCUCGCUGUCCCUAGUGAAAAAGUCCAGGGUCACUGGCUGUGGGUGUGAACGUAAGAAGGGAGACAAAGGAGGAUAAUGAGGCCAAAUAGCUCUGGCCCACAGCAUCCGUACUGGCAAAGACACCAAACCUCCUAACGCUCUUGCUAGGAGGCAGGAGGUGCGGCUUGGCCAAGAGGCCAGGACUCAAGUAACAGGACAUGGGCUGAGGAUUAGAGAGCUGGCGUCCAAGACUAACUCCUGCCGAAAACUACAGCUCCCAGGGUGCCCCGCGGUCCGCCCCAGCCCCGGCGGUCAUGUGACCGCUGCUCACGUGUCUCCACAGCCGGCCCGGGCUCGAAGCACCGCAGGUAGAGUUUGAGAAAGAAGAAACUGGGGGCAGAGAGGGAAGUGAGGAGAAUCAGAUCCCAGAUCUUUGGGGAGAAGGAGCUGUAAGGAGCAGCUGUCCCUCCACCAAAGCCGGCGGGGUGGAAAGAGCAGGUUGAGGAGAGCCAGAGCCCACAGGCCUCCUAGGAUAACAGCCCCAAACAGGCUGGUGGCACCCUCCAGCUGAAGGUGUUCCCUCAGCUCCCCAGGGCAUGUGGUCGUGAGACAGAACCCACAGACCCUGCAGGAACAGGACUCCCAGGGCCAUGGCCCAGGUCAGCAUCAACAGUGACCUUGGCGAGUGGGGCUUAAGCACAGACUCCGGGGAGCGUGCCCGUCUGCUGCAGAGUCCCUCUGUGGACAUAGCCCCCAAGAGUGAGGGGGAGGCCCCUCCUGGGGGUCUGGGCAGAGGCACCACUUCCACACUUGGAGCCAUCUUCAUCGUUGUCAAUGCCUGCCUGGGCGCAGGGCUGCUCAACUUCCCAGCAGCCUUCAGCACUGCCGGGGGAGUGGCAGCUGGCAUCACACUGCAGAUGGCCAUGCUGGUUUUCAUCAUCAGUGGCCUCGUCAUCCUGGCCUACUGCUCCCAGGCCAGCAAUGAGAGGACCUACCAGGAGGUGGUAUGGGCUGUGUGUGGCAAGCUGACAGGUGUGCUGUGUGAGGUGGCCAUUGCCACCUACACCUUCGGGACCUGCAUCGCCUUCCUCAUCAUCAUCGGGGACCAGCAGGACAAGAUUAUAGCUGUGAUGGCAAAGGAGCCUGAGGGGGCCGGCGGCAGCCCCUGGUACACAGACCGCAAGUUCACCAUCAGCCUCACUGCCUUCCUCUUCAUCCUGCCCCUUUCCAUCCCCAGGGAGAUCGGCUUCCAGAAAUAUGCCAGCUUCCUGAGCGUCGUGGGCACCUGGUAUGUCACUGCCAUCAUUAUCAUCAAAUACAUCUGGCCUGAUAAAGAGAUGACCCCAGCGAACAUCCUGAACAGGCCAGCUUCCUGGAUAGCCGUGUUCAAUGCCAUGCCCACCAUCUGCUUCGGAUUUCAGUGCCACGUGAGCAGUGUACCCGUCUUCAACAGCAUGCGGCGGCCUGAGGUGAAGACCUGGGGUGGGGUGGUGACAGCCGCCAUGGUCAUAGCCCUCGCUGUCUACAUGGGCACAGCCCUCUUGUCCCUGCCCUCAGGCAUCUGUGGCUUCCUGACCUUUGGAGCUGCUGUGGACCCCGACGUGCUCCUGUCCUACCCGUCGGAGGACAUGGCUGUGGCCGUCGCCCGCGCCUUCAUCAUCCUGAGCGUGCUAACCUCCUACCCCAUCCUGCACUUCUGUGGGCGGGCGGUGGUCGAAGGCCUGUGGCUGCGCUACCAGGGGAUGCCGGUGGAGGAGGACGUGGGGCGGGAGCGGCGGCGGCGAGUACUGCAGACGCUGGUCUGGUUCCUGCUCACCCUGCUGCUGGCGCUCUUCAUCCCUGACAUCGGCAAGGUCAUCUCGGUCAUUGGAGGGCUGGCCGCCUGCUUCAUCUUCGUCUUCCCAGCUGGUGGGCGAUGGUCAGUUACGGAGUCCUCUUGGUCACCCUGGGAGCCUUCAUCUUCGGCCAGACCACAGCCAACGCCAUUUUUGUGGAUCUCUUGGCAUAACCACUGCCUCCCAGGGAAUUCUUGGCCUUUGCCAUUGGACCCUGGAACCCAUCUCGUAGAGCUUCAGGACCACCCUGAGUCCGGCAUCAUUCCCCUCUACUGGUGGGAUGACAUCUGCACAUCCUUUUCCAGGGACAGUUCUGGGGUGAAAUCAGGCCCCACACCCCUGGACAGCUCAAACCCAGCUCCCUUCCUGCCCCUGCAUCCUGGCAGUGCCAUGGAUGGUAGGAGGAGGUCUUGUGUCACAGAAGAACCUUUCCCCCUCUUUCACCUCUCAACUUCUCCAUGCCUGGAAGCCAUGGGUGAAGAGAGUCGGUAGGUCUCCAAAGGAACAACUCAGCCUGACUUCCCUCUGGAGAAAGAGUGUGGACCAAGGGCUGCCAUCCUCCACAGAGAAGCCUGCCCUGGGUAGGGGCUGUGCUCAUUACCCCGGGACUCAGUGCCUGCUCCAGUCUGUCAGCAGCCCAGCCAGCAGUGGCUUCCUCCAGCAAGUUCCAAAGGUAGCACUGAAGUCAUAGAGGUGCGCCGAGGUAGGCAGACUGAUGCCUUGUCCACUGCCUCCUGGGCCUGCGGUGAGCCUGACAGCCCUCUUGCCCAUGGCUGGUUGACAUUUCCCAAGCCUUUUGGGGCCUCAUCCUGUCUUUUUACCUAGACCUGAUGGUCCAGGCAUCCCUCUGCAUCUCCAUGCCCAGACAUCACCAAGUCUAAUGUUUACAAACGGUGCCAGCCCAGCUCUGGGCCAGGGGCCGUCCCGUGCCACGGUGCUGAUACAAGUUCUGAUUCAGUAGAUCUGGAGUGGGGCCUGCAGUCUGCGUUGUUAACGCUCCCAGCUUCGCCCAUGCUUUGGUCCUUGGACUGCACUUUGAAUAGCAGGGGACUGGUGGACAGACCAAAGGCUUUGGCUUCGGACAGACCUGGGGUGGAUCUCAGCAGUGCCUCUUUACAGUGGGAACUCGGAAAGUAGUUCACUUCUCCGAACCCCACUCUCCUCGACUAUAAAGUGUGGAGGAAGGCCAGAGACAUUGUAGUCAGGAAGAAGGACGAAGGAAGAAGGCAGACACCCUGUCCUCCGAAUACUUUGUGUUUCCUGAGGGGGCACUGGGGUGGGGAGCGGGGGAGGCAUAGGCACAAGAUGCCUAUUUGGAUAUUCUUCCAUUAAAAAUGAAAUUGAUGUGUUUCCAGUCCAACAUGUAAGAAGCUUGGAAGUGGCCACUCCAUCCUAACAACAAGUAAAAAGUUGAACAAACCGAAAAGUCAACUCUUCUUAGAUAUGUACAAUAAGUCAGAUUAUAAGGCACACCGCUGCCCCCAGAACUGGAGAGAGAGACGGACAAAUACAGAGCAGAAACCCACACGCAGAAACCUCUGUGGGAGUCAGUGCCAGGGUAAGGAAACCUGAAAUGUAAUUGAUGAAUUGCUGGAGGCUCAGUGUGGACAAAUCUGAGAAAUAAAAACACCAAGGAAGGGCUUCCCUGGUGGCACAGUGGUUAAGAAUCCACCUGCCAAUGCAGGGGACACGUGUUUGAUCUCUGGUCUGGGAAGAUUCCACAUGCCAUGGAGCAACUAAGCCCGUGAGCCACAACUACUGAACCUGCGUGCCACAACUACUGAAACCCGUGCGCCUAGAGCCGGUGCUCCGCAACAAGAGAAGCCACCACAGUGAGAAGCCCGCACACCACGAUGAAGAGUAGCUCCUUCUUGCCGCAACUAGAGAAAGCCCGCGUGCAGCAAUGAAGACCCAGUGCAGCCAAAAAAAACAAAAACAAAAAAAACACCAAGGAACCCAGUCCUAUUGGGGGAAGGGAGCAUACUUUGUGACUUUGUGGGUUUUACCUGAAGCUCUACCAGGUUCUCAUAGUAAACAUCAGAAAAAAAUCCCUCGUUUCCAGCAGAGGAGGGUAAAAGGAACCAUUCUGAAAUGUGCUAGAGCAUUCUGUUCUUGUUAAUAAGAUAUGCCCUCAGGAGACACUUAAAAUUUAACCAGAGCCUAACAGACCUAAGGGAAGGGAAACACACAACUCAAUCCCACUCUAGCCACCCUGGGGGGACUGGAGGGAGAAGAUAAGUCAAGUCCAUAGUCUUUCUCUUAGUGAGCCAGUCCAUCACAGGCUCACUAAGAGACUGUGAUCCAGUCAUAGGACUAUAGAACGCUUCCCCUUCCCUUACACCUUGCAACCUUAUUACUAAAGGCCAAUCUACAGCAGUUCCUUUUACCUAGUACAUUAUGUCUGGCUAUCAAGAAAAAAUUACAAGAUAUACUAAAAGGCAAAAAACAUAGUUUUAAGAGACAGAGCAAGCAUCAGAGCUAGACUCAGAUAUGGCAGGAGUGUUAGAAUUAUCAGACCAGGAAUUUUAACAACUAUGGUUAAGAUGCUCUCAUGGAUGAAGCAGACAGCCUGCAAGAACAACAGAUGGGCAAUGUAAGCACAGAGAUGAAAAUUCUAAGAAAGAACCAAAAAGAAAUGCUAGAGAUAAAAAACACUGUAGGAGAGAUGAAGAAUGCCUAUACUGUACAGACUGGAUAGAACUUAGGAAAGAAACUCUGAGCUUCAGGAUAUCUCAAUAGAAACCUCCAAAACUGAAAAGCAAAUAGAAAAAAAAAAAGUCUGUGGAAAAACAAAAACAAAAAAAAAAGGAAUAAUGUACACAGAAUGGGAAUAUCAGAAGGAAAAGAGAACGGAACAGAAAAAUAUUUGAAACAAUAAUGACUGAGAAUUUCCCCCAAAUUAAUUUCAGGCACCUGAUUAAUUAAUGACAGACCAGGAAGCUCAGAGAACACCCAGCAGGAUAAAUGCCGAAAAAUAUGACACCAAGUCAUAUCAUUUUCAAAAAAUACAAAAAAUCAAAGAUAAAGGGAAAGUCCUGAAAGAAGCCAGAGGGAAAAAACGCCUAUAGAGAAGCAAAGAUUAAGAAUUACGAGGGAAUUCCUUGGCGGGCCAGUGGUUAGGACUUGGCACUUUCACUGCCAGGGGCUGGGUUCAAUCCCUGGUCGGGGAACUAAGAUCCCACAAGCCUCACAGUGUGGCCAAAAAAAAAAAAAAAAAAAAAUUACUGUUGAUCCUUGAACAAUAUGAGGGCUAGGGGCUCCAACCCUCUACAUACUUGAAAAUCUCCAUAUAAUUUAUAGUCAGCCCUUUGUAUCCGAGGUUCCUCCAUAUCCAUGGUUCUGCAUCUAAAGAUUCAACCAACUGCAGAUCGUGUAGUAUUGUAGUGUUUACUAUUGAAAAAAAUCCACUAUAUAUAGACCCUUGCAGUUCAAACCCAUGUUGUUCCAGGGUCAACUGUACAUCUGACUUCUCAGAAACUACGCAAGCAUGAAGAGAGUUGAGUGAAAUAUUUUAAAUGUUAAGAGAAACCUAGAAUUCUAUAUCCUGUAAAAUUAUCCUUCAACAGUGAAGGAGAAAUACUCUCUCAGACAAACAAAAAUUGAGGGAAUUUGUUGCCAGUAGACCUGCCUUGAAAGAAGUGUUAAAAGGAGUUCUUUAGAGAGAAGGGAAUUUUUUUUUUUGGCCACGCCACCCUGCUCUCAGGAUCUUAGUUCCCCAACCAGGGCCCCCUGCAGUGGAGCACAGAGUCCUAACCACUGGACCACCAGGGAAUUCCUGAGAGAAGGGAAAUUAAAUGAAGCAGAUAUCACAAUUAUAAAGCAAGAAGAGAAUGCUUUGAAAAAUGAACAAAAUGAAAACUAGCACCUAAAAAUUAAAAGUAUGAUUGCCAAAUUUAAAAAUAAAUCAAAACAAGAGUUAAAGAUAGUUAAGAAAAUCCCCUAGAAAGCAGAACAAAAAGACAGAGAUGGAGGGAAUUCCCUGGCUGUCCAGUGAUUAGGACUCAGCACUUUCACUGACAAAGAGAUAAGAAAAUUAGAGUUUCAACUCAGAUCCAACAUCUGACUAACAGGAGUUCCAGAAAUAGAGAAGAAAGAAAAUGGGCAGGGGUAGGAAGUGGGAGAGCAGAGAAAGACAGAUAUUACCAAAGAAGUAACUCAAGAAUAUUUUUCAGAACUGAAAGAUAUGAGUCUCUAUACUUGAGCCAGUAAAUUGAAUUUUAAGAGCUGCACACUGAAAAUAAAGAGAAAAUCUUAAAGAUUUUCUGAGAUAGUGGUGGGCAGGGAGGGCAUGCUUCUUGACAUCACUGCAAGCUAGACGAUAACACAUCAAUGCCUUCAUAAUUUUUGAGUGAAACUUUCCAACCUAGAUUUCAGUGCACAACCAAACCUUCAAUCAAGUGUGAGACUGAAACAAAAAUAUUUCCAGAUAGGUAAAGAGUAAAUAAAUUUACAUCCUGUGUAGCCUCUCUCAGAAAGUCACUGGAGAAUAUGCUUCAGCAAAACAGAGUUGUAAAGCAAGAAAGUGUAAGGCAAAGCAUCCAGGAAACCAAGAAUCUACCUCAGAAGAACCAAAUGAUGGUUUCCAAAUGGCAGCUGGGCAGCUGACCAAAACGUGGCCAGUUCAGUUGAAGCAGGAAUAGGGAGAGCAAUCAAAGGAAGGUCUCCAGGGAAAAAAUAAAACUAAGAGGUUAUCUGACUUGUCUAAGCAUUUGGAAUAAUUACUGACAGAUCUGUUGGAACGUUUGGAUAAGUAUGUAUAUAACAAAGCAAAUGGGAAAAUAUGGCCAUUAUUAACCACAGGAAAAACAAGUUUUACAAAGAAGGAAAGGAAAUCAUAGUAAACUAUCAAUACUUUUUUAAAAAUUUAUUUUAUUAUUUAUUUAUUUAGGCUGCGCUGGGUCUCAGUUAUGGCAUGAGGGAUCUUUAGUUGCGGCAUGUGAACUCUUAGUUGCAGCAUGCAUGAGGAAUCUGGUUUCCCCAACCAGGGAUCUUACCUGGGCCCCCUGCAUUGGGAACAGAGUCUUACCCACUGGACCACCAGGGAAGUACCUAAACUAUCAAUACGCAGCACAGCAGUGAACAAUAUUUACAUACUCAUAAUAAUGUACAUACUGAUUAUUUAACCCUAAGGGCUGUAUUGUGACAGAACCUCAUUUUAAAAGGGGAGGGGCUUUAGGGUGCAGGUGUAAGAAAGCUAAAUCUUUAAUCAAUAAUUACUGCUUUUAAUUUUUAAAUCACAAAAUAGCAGUAUAAGUACAUUAUCUUAAAAUAGUGAGAUAAAUGCCAAAAGAAACAACUUAAAAGAGAUGCAUGUAGGCAACACAACGAGCUAGAGGUGGGCAAAGCUGGGACAAAGGACUGCUGGCAUUUGAUAUGAGCUUUUUUUUAAAAAAAUGUUUAUUUAUUUAUUUUUGGCUGUGUUGGGUCUUAGUUGUGGCACGAGGUCUUCUCUCUAGUUGUGGUGCGCGGGCUUAGUUGCUCCACGGCAUGUGGGAUCUUAGCUCCCCGAUCAGGGAUUGAACCCUUGUCCCCUGCAUUGGAAGGCAGAUUCUUAACCACUGAACCAAAAGGGAAGUCCGGGAUAUGAGCUUUUUAUUACCACUGGAUUUAUAAAACAAAAUGCAUAACUAGUUGGGUUUUUUUUAACUUACAAUUAUUUUUAUACUUACAAUAGCCAAGAUAUGGAGGUAACCUAAGGGCCCAGUGAUAGAUAAAUGGAUAAAGAAGAUGUGGUCCAUAAAAAAGAAUGAAAUCUUGCCAUUUGAGACAACAUGGAUGGACCUAGAGGGUAUUAUGCUAAGUGAAAUAAGUCAGACAGAGAAAGACAAUAUAUGAUUUCAAUUAUUUGUGGAAUCUUAAAAACAAACACAACAAAACAGAAACAGCAUCAUAGAUAGAGAGAGCAAACAGGUGGUUGUCAGAGGAGUAGGGUGGGGAGAUAAGAAAAACAGGUGGGGGAGAUUAAAAGGUACAAACUUCCAGUUACAAAAUAAAUGAAUCAUAGGUAUGAAAUGUACAGUGUGAGGAAUACUGUCAAUAAUUAUGUAAUAUCUUUAUAUGGUGAAAGAUGGUAACUAGAUUUAUCGUGGUGAUCAUUUUAAAAUGUGUAGAAAUAUCAAAUCACUAUAUUGUGCAUCCGGAAGUAACACAGUGUUUUAGGUCAAUUAUACUUCAAAAAACAAACUAAAUCAUAGAAAAAGAGAUCGUUACCAGAGGCGGGGAUCAGGGGAGAGGGAGUUGGAUGAAAGUAGUCAAAAGGUACAAACUUCCAGUUAUAAGAUAAAUCAGUACCAGGGAUAUAAUGUAUAAUAUGAUAAAUAUAAUUAACACUGUUGCACGUCUAUCUAUGAAAGUUGUUAGAGGGACUUCCCUGGCUGUCCAGUGGUUAAGACUCUGUACUUCCACUGCAGUGGGCGAGGGUUCAAUCCCUGGUCUGGGAACUAAGAUCCCAUAUGCCGCAGGGUGUGGUCCAAAAAAAAAGUUUUAAAAAGUGAUCAUAGGGCUUCCCUGGUGGCACAGUGGUUCAGAGUUCGCCUGCCGAUGCAGGGGACACAGGUUCGUGCCCUGGUCCGGGAAGACCCCACAUGCCACGGAGCGGCUAGGCCCGUGAGCCAUGGCCACUGAGCCUGUGCAUCCGGAGCCUGUGCUCCGCAACGGGAGAGGCCACAACGUGAGAGGGCCGUGUACCGCAAAAUAAAUAAAUAAAUAAAUAAAUAAAAGUUUUUUUUUUUAAAGUGAUCAUAAAACAAAUUUUUUUUUCUGCACCGCGCAGCAUGCAGGAUCCUAGUUCCCCAACCAGGGGUCGAACCCAUGCCCCCUGCAGUGGGAGUGUGGAGUCCUAACCACAGGGCCACCAGAAAAGUCCCCAAACAAUUUUUUUUAAAUAAGAGAAGUAAAAAUUGAAUGUCUCCUAUAGGCCAUGUUCGAAUUCUAGCUUUGCUGCUUCUCAUGAGGCCUUAGGCAGUUAGUUAAACUUUAUGGGCCUUGAUUUCCUUAUCCAUACAUUACAAUACUUGCUGCAGCAAAGACAGCUUGGCAGCCUUCUCCAUUAUUCAAUAAACAAUACAACUUGUGAAAUAGUAAAAAAUAAAUAUAUUGGUCUCUACCCCAUUUCUGGCAUAGAGCUCCUAAAACUUCUGUAAUUUCCUAAAUGAUAAGGGUACUUAGGAGCAUUUUUUGUUCUAAUAUUUGGUCUUGGACCCUGGUUCCUGACACAGAGCUCCUAAAUCCCUUGGAAUUUCCUGGGCGAUAGGAGUGUCUUUUGUUCUAAUGAGGCAAUGAUUGGGGGGCUCCUGGAUAACUUCAGGAUUGGUGCAGGUCACCAGAAAGACCACACGCGUUGAUCAGAAGCUCGGAACUUUCAGCCCCAGCCCCCCAACCUCUGGGAAGGGGAGUGGAGCUGGAGAUUGAGUUAAUAAUCAAUCAUGCCUAUGUGAUGGAGCCCCCAUAGAAAUCCCAGCACUACAUGGUUGGAAGAGGUUCCGAGUUGGUGGACACAUCCACAUGCCAGUAGGGUGGUACAUCCUGACUCCACGGGGACAGACGCUCCUGCAUGUGGGACCCUUCUGGACCUCAUCCUAUGUACCUCUUCAUCCUGGCCAUUCAUCUGUACCUUUUCUAAUACCUUUUACAAUAAACCAGUAAACGUAAGUAAAUGUUUCCCUGAGUUCUGUAAGUCAUUCUAGCAAACUACUGACCUCUGAGGUGGGAGUCGUGGGAACCCCAAUUUAUAGCUGGUCACCAGAUUCAAGUGGGGGGAGAUAGACCCACCCCUCCAAGAGAGAAGUGACAAAGAAUUUGUGGCCAUCUUUAUCUACCACAUAAUCUGGAAAAUAUACAUAAAUACUUAGCUCAAAGGGUUGUUACAGGGCUUCCCUGGUGGCACAGUGGUUAAGAAUCCACCUGCCAGUGCAGGGGACACGGGUUCGUGCCCCGGUCCGGGAAGAUCCCACAUGCCGCGGAGCGGCUAGGCCCGUGAGCCACAACUACUGAGCCUGCGCGUCUGAAGCCUGUGCUCCGCAACGGGAGAGGCCGCGACAGUGAGAGGCCCGCGCACCGCGAUGAAGAGUGGCCCCCGCUCGCCGCAACUGGAGAAUGCCCACGCACAGAAACGAAGACCCAACACAGCCAAAAAUAAAUAAAUAAAUAUUUUUUUAAAAAGAGUUGUUACAAAAAUUAUAUUGGAUUUAUAAAAAAUGCCUUGUCUGUACUGAGGAAUAAACAAAUAAAUGUUUUAUUAUCAUAAUUCUUUUAAAACGGUCAUAUUUAGCACUAGAGGGUGCCUUUUUUUUUUCUUUUUUUUUUUUGGCCCCAUAGCUUACAGGAUCUCAGUUCCCUGACCAGGGACUGAACCCAGGCAAUGGCAGUGAAAGCCUGGAAUCCUAACCACUAGGCCUCCAGGGAACUCCCAGAGGGUACUUUAAAUUAAUAAAGAUAGAAUUCUUCACUUAGAAGAGUUCACCUCAAGUCUCUCUAAACAGCAAACUCUUCCUGGAAAAGAGGACUUGGGUCAUGUGUCAUUUCACUGACAUCCUACUAGCUAGAACUGCACCAUUCAUACACACUGAGGUGUCUUUUGAAGGCCCAAUGUGGAGAAAGAGGCUCUUGCUGGGAACAUUACCAGCUCCAUCUCCUGGAGGGGCAGUGGCUGGAGCAGCGGCCAACUAAGAAGAGAUGACCUCCCCUGGGCUUGGCUCUUAAUGUCCAAAAAAUGAGAUUGGGGGAAUGAGGAGGUGUGUCCACGGGCCACUUGUUAGUUUAUUCUCAGUGAGAUUGAUUCUGUGGUCCCUCCCAGCUCUGGCAGAUUAUAUUGUCCUCAGCCUUUUCCUCCUCAAUUCCUUAUCCAGGGGUUGUAAAUGGAACCCAUUGUGUGCUUAUCUUUUAAAAAGAAGGAGGAGGAGAAGGAGAAGAAAGAAGAGGAAGAAAUAAAAGAAAGGAAGGAGAGAGAGAGGAGAAAAAGGAAAGAAAAAAAGGAAGAAGAAUUUUUAAAUUACUUUCGGGCACAGAGCUCCUAAAACCCUUGGAAUUUCCUAAGUGAUUUAAAGUGUCUUUUGUUAUGUUAAUGAGAUGAUGUUCGGACUGCGCCUAAGGUUGGGGGCUGGUUGCCAGGAAACCAACUGUGUUAUUAGAGGGUUGGAACUUUCAGUCCCACCUCCUGACCUCCAGGGAGGGGAGAGGGACUGGAGAUUGAAUCUGCAGCCUAAUGGCCAAUGCCUUACUCAACCAUGCCGAUGAAAAAAAGCCUCUAUAAAAACCCAGAGUAUGCAGUUCAGAGAUUCCAGAUUGGUGAACAGGUGGAGGUGCUGGGAGAGUGCUGUGGUUGGAGAGCAUGGACGCUCCAUGCCCUUUCCCCAUACCUGCCCUGUGCAUCUCUUCCAUCUUGUUGUUCCUGUGUUACAUCCUUUUACAAUAAACUAUUCAUCUAGUUUAAAAAAAAAAAAGGGGGCUUCCCUGGUGGCGCAGCGGUUGCGCGUCCGCCUGCCGAUGCAG